AUUGUACGCUGGCGGCAUGCCUUACACAUGCAAGUCGAACGGUAACGGGCCUUCGGGUGCCGACGAGUGGCGAACGGGUGAGUAAUGUAUCGGAACGUACCUUUCAGUGGGGGAUAACGUAGCGAAAGUUACGCUAAUACCGCAUAUUCUGUGAGCAGGAAAGCCGGGGAUCGCAAGACCUUGUGCUGAUUGAGCGGCCGAUAUCGGAUUAGCUAGUUGGUGAGGUAAAGGCUCACCAAGGCGACGACCUGUAGCGGGUCUGAGAGGAUGAUCCGCCACACUGGAACUGAGACACGGUCCAGACUCCUACGGGAGGCAGCAGUGGGGAAUUUUGGACAAUGGGGGCAACCCUGAUCCAGCCAUGCCGCGUGAGUGAAGAAGGCCUUCGGGUUGUAAAGCUCUUUCGGCCGGGAAGAAAUCGUAUCAGCUAAUACCUGGUGCGGAUGACGGUACCGGCAUAAGAAGCACCGGCUAACUACGUGCCAGCAGCCGCGGUAAAAC
rnacentral:rRNA from 1 species